rnacentral:piRNA from 1 species
GAACUUUAAGCACGUUGGGAGUGA